UUAUUUCCUCGGUUUUCUUUUCUUAUUUCUUGAAUUUUUACCGACUACCCUUUUCCGUGCUUCUUUCUUUUGAAUCAUCGAGUAUUUUAUUUUUUUUUUAUUUUUUUUCUCGAUUCAUCACUUUUUUUUUCUCUUGUUUUUGCACUUUCUAGGGCUUUGAGAGCUUUUGGGGUUUUUACCCCAAACUCAGCUUUUUAACACUGUUGGAAUAUAUUCUCAU
rnacentral:lncRNA from 1 species